rnacentral:rRNA from 1 species
CAAUAGUGUAUAUUUAAGUUGUUGCAGUUAAAAAGCUCGUAGUUGGAUUUUGGGUCGGGGGCACCGGUCCGCCGUUCCGGUGUGCACUGGUGGCCCCUUCCUUUCUGCCGGGGACGUGCGUCGCACUUAAUUGGGUGGCGUUCGGAGUCGGCGUUGUUACUUUGAAAAAAUUAGAGUGUUCAAAGCAAGCCAUCGCUCUGAAUACAUUAGCAUGGAAUAACAUGAUAGGACUCCGGUCUUAUUUUGUUGGUUUCCGAGACUGGAGUAAUGAUUAAGAGGGACAGUCGGGGGCAUCCGUAUUUCAUUGUCAGAGGUGAAAUUCUUGGAUUUAUGAAAGACGAACUUCUGCGAAAGCAUUUGCCAAGGAUGUUUUCAUUAA